UACAACGUUUAUAAUAUUGAUUACAACGUUUACAACACCAAUGGAACUUACUCCCGAGUAUGCUAACCUAAUGCCAUCCACGUCUUGCGAGCGGAACAGAGCAAUUACAAAAAUGAGUUCAGAGGACCAUGUUCAAGUUCCAUCCACGUCUAGCAUACAUUCAACAGGAAAUCAAACAUUACCUGACCAAACAACACCAAUGGAACUUCAUCCUGAUCCUGAGUACCUACUAUCAUCCAUUUCAAAUGCCUUACGUCCAGCAACUCCUCUGGAGUCCACGGAUAAUUUUGACGAUGAUUUUGUCAUACUUCCUGAGGAGGGACAAAAAUUUG